UACGUAGGGGGCGAGCGUUGUCCGAAUUUAUUGGGCGUAAAGAGCGUGUAGGCGGUUUGGUAGGUCCGUUGUGAAAACUCGAGGCUCAACCUCGAGACGCCGAUGGAAACCAUCAGACUAGAGUCCGGAAGAGGAGAGUGGAAUUCCUGGUGUAGCGGUGAAAUGCGCAGAUAUCAGGAAGAACACCCGUGGCUAAGGCGGCUCUCUAGUACGGUACUGACGCUGAGACGCGAAAGCGUGGGGAGCGAACAGG
rnacentral:rRNA from 1 species